UUGUUCUUCGUCUUUCUCAGAGACGACCCCCAUGGAAACCCUAGCCGCCACCUCUCCAUUCGCCCUGAAGACCCGGUGGCCUGAGCUGUGAUGACCUUCAAAUUAACACCCAUGAAUCCUCAGACCAUCCCCUCCAUGAAUCCACAACCCCUUCUCCUCGAAUCAUUACCAAACGUCUCAAAUCUUUGUUUGAAGAUUCGAAUCUGAUCUUAAACCCACCCCAAUCCACCCCAGACUCGCACCACGACACCCCUAGGCCACCCUCACCCCUGAACCGCCAUUGGUUCCCUUCGAAUCACCUUGGAAAUACUUG
rnacentral:lncRNA from 1 species